GACGAACGCUAGCGACGUGCCUAAUACAUGCAAGUCGAACGAAGCUGUUUUAACUGGUGCUUGCACCGACUUAAACAACUGAGUGGCGAACGGGUGAGUAACACGUGGGUAACCUGCCCCAAAGCGGGGGAUAACAUUUGGAAACAGAUGCUAAUACCGCAUAACCACAGAAACCACAUGGUUUCUGUGUCAAAGAUGGUUUCGGCUAUCACUUUGGGAUGGACCCGCGGCGUAUUAGCUAGUUGGUAAGGUAAUGGCUUACCAAGGCAAUGAUACGUAGCCGAAUUGAGAGGUUGAUCGGCCACAUUGGGACUGAGACACGGCCCAAACUCCUACGGGAGGCAGCAGUAGGGAAUCUUCCACAAUGGACGAAAGUCUGAUGGAGCAACGCCGCGCGAGUGAAGAAGGUUUUCGGAUAGUAAAACUCUGUUGUCAGAGAAGAACGUGUGCGAGAGUAACUGCUCGUGCAGUGACGGUAUCUGGCCAGAAAGCCACGGCUAACUACGUGCCAGCCGCCGCCGUAA
rnacentral:rRNA from 1 species